UCAACCAUAGGAAGUGGCCAAAGGAGGAAGCAGGAGUUUGUGGGUCCAGUGUGGAGGAGACAAAGACUGAACUGCUGUUCCACACCUUUAGAACACUUUAGUUCCUGGAUAAUGUUAUUAGCUUUCAAGCAUGUGCUGCAUCCCGAGAGAUCUGUUGACUUCCAGUCUGACCAAAUUCUUUCACGUCGUGGCGUGUACGAUGUAUAAACGUUUUGGAAUGCCUCUGAGAUGACUUCUGCAGUUACUUUCCAUUAGUGGUUGUGGAAGUCAGAAUUGUAAAACGACACUCAAGUUUCCCGCCCACUGGUGUACAUGCUUUAUAUAAUUCCCUGCACUGGAGUGUGGGUAGGAUUCGUGACUAUGAUGGGAUAUCACUGCCAUGAUUGGGCUACGGAAUACUUGACUUUCAGUUAAUCUAAAGGGAGAUUAUUCUGGGUGUGCCUGCCCUAAUCAGCUGGACCUUUAGCAAGAUGGUGAAGCACCACAGAAACAUGAUAGCGGGCCUGGCCUGGAAGAAAGAAACCACCGAGUUGUGAACUGCUAUGGAAGGGGCUCAUGGUUAGCAUAUGAAAGUGGCUCUUGGAGCUGAAAGUGGUCCCUGACUAAUGGCCAGUAAGAAAGUGGGGACUUCAUCUCUACAACUCCAAGGAACUGAAUUCUGCUCACAACCUGAAUGACCAUGGCAAGAGGACCAUGAGCUUCAGAUGAAAUCACAGCCCCAGCCACACCAUAUUUCAGCCUGGUGACACCCUGAGUAGAGGACUCAACUAACCUGUACCUAGACUCCUGACACACAGAAACUGUGAGAUACAUUAGUUUUCAUUUAAGUCAUUAAAUCACUGAUAAUUUGUUAGGCAGCAAUAGACAGCAGAUAACGUGAGGUUU